GAAGUCUCUGAGACCUGAGCCUCUCAAGCGGCCACUUAGGGGCAGACAGAGGAGAUGACAUUCUUAGCAUCCUGACUGGCGUGAACUAUGACGUGAGCAAUAAAGACGACAGGAGGAACAAGGGAAAGCAGAUGACACAGCCCACCUUCACACUACGGAAGAAGCUCUUCUUCCCUCCCUAAUGAUGUGUGCUCUCCACAGUUCACAUGGCUUAUCUGUGCACUUUUGUGUGGAUGAGUCUAAUUUAUUUUUUAGGAUUUCUUUUGUUUUUUAGGUUACACUUACAUCAUUUCCCCUUUUCCUCCCUUCAAAUCCUUCUAUGUAAUGUUCCAAUUUCAAAUACAUGACCUCCUUUCUCAUUAACUGUUGUACACACACACACACACACACACACACACACACACACACACACAUUUCUAAAUAUAACCUACCCAGUUUGUAUACUGUCACUUAGAUGUAUGUUUUGUUUUGCUUUUUUAAAUUGGAGCAACCUUUGGUAGGCUAAUCACACUCCAAGGCAGGUCCCUCUCCCAAGAAUAGCUGGGCAACACAAACUGAAUUCCAUGGGUUCACCUUUAAUCCCAGCACUCUGGAGGCAGAGGCAGGAGGAUCUCUGAGUUCAAAGCCAACCUGCUCUACAUAGCAAGUUCUGAGAUAGCCAGGACUACACAGAGAAAGCUUGUCUUGAAAAAAACAAACUUGAAGAUGCAUGAGUAAGAAAGCAAGACUGGAACAUAAACCUGUUUAACAGAAUGGGUGAAUGACGGGAGCAGGGACCUGGGGCAAGUUAACAGAGUGGGUGAAAGAACAUGGACCUGAGACAAGUUAACAAAGGGGGUGAAUGAUGGGAGCGGGGACCUGGGGUGAGAAAGGGGUGAAUAUCAUCAGCAUUUUGCUGCAUGAAAUUCUCAGAGGUAAUAAAAAAUAUUAAACUUU